ensembl:miRNA predicted gene, 25149
AACUUGUCAGAAUGCAAGCCUGCCUUAGUAGACCAAGGUGGGACCACAGAUUCCUCAUUUCUAACAAGUUCUCAGCUGCUAC